UAUUUUCCUUGUGUGCCAGCAGCCGCGGUAAUACGGAAGGUCCGGGCGUUAUCCGGAUUUAUUGGGUUUAAAGGGAGCGUAGGCCGGAGAUUAAGCGUGUUGUGAAAUGUAGACGCUCAACGUCUGCACUGCAGCGCGAACUGGUUUCCUUGAGUACGCACAAAGUGGGCGGAAUUCGUGGUGUAGCGGUGAAAUGCUUAGAUAUCACGAAGAACUCCGAUUGCGAAGGCAGCUCACUGGAGCGCAACUGACGCUGAAGCUCGAAAGUGCGGGUAUCGAACAGG
rnacentral:rRNA from 1 species